AUGUCCCCAUCUCUACAUUUCAAGCCUCUACACAGCAACAACAACAAGAAGCCCUCUUCACGCCCUCACCACCUUCAGUUCACCAUGACUCCCUUCCUCGUUGUUUUCACCAUCCUCUUGUGCCUACGCACCCCAGCAAAUUCCGCCGUGACAGACACCAUCUUGCCCGGCCAAGCACUUGGCGUCGACAACAAGCUCGUCUCCAGCAAUGGAAGGUACGCGCUCGGCUUCUUCCAGACUGGACACACCGCCAACUGGUACCUUGGCAUAUGGUUCAACACGGUACUAAAAUUCACUUCAGCAUGGGUUGCAAAUAGGGAUAAGCCAAUCAGGAACACCACCUCACUGGAGCUCACGAUCUCCCACGAUGGCAACCUUGUCAUCGUAAACUGGUCCACCAAGUCCGUGAUCUGGUCUACACAAGUAAACAUCAAAAGAAAUAUCACCACUGCUGCUACGCUGUUGAGUAGUGGAAAUCUUAUCCUGACAGACUCUUCAAACUCAUCAGAGGUUUUGUGGCAGAGCUUUGACCACCCCAUGGAUACAUUUUUUCCUGGGGCGAAGCUCGGAUGGGACAAGGUCACAGGCCUGGAGUGCCGUUUUGUUUCUUGGAAGAACUUGGUCGACCCGGCUACCGGUGCGUACUGUGAGCAGUUAGACCCCAGUGGUGUUGACCAGUUACUGCUUGUAGCACUGAACUCAUCCAUACCAUAUUGGUCCACCGGUGUAUGGAACGGCAAAUACUUCGCUGCACUUCAAUAA
rnacentral:rRNA from 1 species